rnacentral:ncRNA from 1 species
UCUUACAUCUGGUAAGAGACUUAUGCGGAUCAAACCGCGUAGCCAGGAGAACUGGCAUUGGACUCCUUUAAAGGAGAAAACAAAUG